rnacentral:ncRNA from 1 species
CUGAAGGUACCGUCUGGUUGCUUUGCAUCAAAAGGGAAUGCAGUGAAAAUCUGCAGCAGCCCCCGCUACUGUGACCGGCUGUCCCCCCGCACAAGGCCACUGGGAGCAAUCCCGGGAAGGCGCGGGAGGCCAAAGGCCGGAGCCAGGAGACCUGCCAGAAUGG